AUAGGGGAGCCGCAGGGAAACCGAGUCUUAACUGGGCGUUAAGUUGCAGGGUAUAGACCCGAAACCCGGUGAUCUAGCCAUGGGCAGGUUGAAGGUUGGGUAACACUAACUGGAGGACCGAACCGACUAAUGUUGAAAAAUUAGCGGAUGACCUGUGGCUGGGGGUGAAAGGCCAAUCAAACCGGGAGAUAGCUGGUUCUCCCCGAAAGCUAUUUAGGUAGCGCCUCGUGAAUUCAUCUGUGGGGGUAGAGCACUGUUUCGGCUAGGGGGCCAUCCCGGCUUACCAACCCGAUGCAAACUACGAAUACCACAGAAUGUUAUCACGGGAGACACACGGCGGGUGCUAACGUCCGUCGUGAAGAGGGAAACAACCCAGACCGCCAGCUAAGGUCCCAAAGUCAUGGUUAAGUGGGAAACGAUGUGGGAAGGCCCAGACAGCCAGGAUGUUGGCUUAGAAGCAGCCAUCAUUUAAAGAAAGCGUAAUAGCUCACUGGUCGAGUCGGCCUGCGCGGAAGAUGUAACGGGGCUAAACCAUGCACCGAAGCUGCGGCAGCGACACU
rnacentral:rRNA from 1 species